rnacentral:rRNA from 1 species
UAGGGAAUCUUCGGCAAUGGACGAAAGUCUGACCGAGCAACGCCGCGUGAGUGAAGAAGGUUUUUGGAUCGUAAAACUCUGUUGUUAGAGAAGAACAAGGACGUUAGUAACUGAACGUCCCCUGACGGUAUCUAACCAGAAAGCCACGGCUAACUACGUGCCAGCAGCCGCGGUAAUACGUAGGUGGCAAGCGUUGUCCGGAUUUAUUGGGCGUAAAGCGAGCGCAGGCGGUUUCUUCAGUCUGAUGUGAAAGGCCCCGACUCAACCGGGGAGGGUCAUUGGAAACUGGGAGAAUUGAGUGCAGAAGAGGAGAGUGGAAUUCCAUGUGUAGCGGUGAAAUGCGUAGAUAUAUGGAGGAACACCAGUGGCGAAGGCGGCUCUCUGGUCUGUAACUGACGCUGAGGCUCGAAAGCGUGGGGAGCAAACAGG